rnacentral:rRNA from 1 species
GACGAACGCUGGCGGCGUGCCUAAUACAUGCAAGUGGGACGCAAGAGGACACACUGUGCUUGCACACCGUGUUUUCUUGAGUCGCGAACGGGUGAGUAACGCGUAGGUAACCUACCUAUUAGCGGGGGAUAACUAUUGGAAACGAUAGCUAAUACCGCAUAAUAUUAAUUAUUGCAUGAUAAUUGAUUGAAAGAUGCAAGCGCAUCACUAGUAGAUGGACCUGCGUUGUAUUAGCUAGUUGGUAAGGUAAGAGCUUACCAAGGCGACGAUACAUAGCCGACCUGAGAGGGUGAUCGGCCACACUGGGACUGAGACACGGCCCAGACUCCUACGGGAGGCAGCAGUAGGGAAUCUUCGGCAAUGGACGAAAGUCUGACCGAGCAACGCCGCGUGAGUGAAGAAGGUUUUCGGAUCGUAAAGCUCUGUUGUAAGUCAAGAACGUGUGGAGAGGGAAAGUUCACACA